rnacentral:rRNA from 1 species
AUUGAACGCUGGCGGCAGGCCUAACACAUGCAAGUCGAACGAGUGGCGGUCGGGUGAGUAAUGUCUGGUAAACUUCCCGAUGGUGGGGUCUAACUUCUGGAACCCGUAGCUAAUACCGCAUACCAUCGGAUGUGCCCACAUGGUAUUAGCUAGUAGGUGGGGUAACGGCUCACCUAGCCGACGAUCCCUCGCUGGUCUGAGAGGAUUCCCAGCCACACUGGAGCUGAGACACGGUCCAGACUCCUACGGGAGGCAGCAGUGGGGAAUAUUGCGGUAUGAGCGCAAAGAUGAUACAGCCGUGCCGCGUGUAUGAAGAAUGCAUUCGGGUUUUAAAGUAAUUUCAGCGGGGAGGCGUUACUCACAGAAGAAGCACAGGCUAACUCCGUGCCAGCAGCCGCGGUAAUUC